AAACCAUGAUGAAGGCAUCACUAUACGGCUAAUUUGAAAUAUUCCCAAGCUUCGUAAAAUUUUUCUCCUUCCAUUUGUUUGAAGUUGGUAAUGUCUCUUCGACU
rfam:Gossypium hirsutum cultivar TM-1 chromosome 6, whole genome shotgun sequence